rnacentral:misc_RNA from 1 species
UUAUAGAGGACUCUACAACUGCCACAAAAGAUAUACAAUGGAGACAUCAGGUUUAUGAACCCACCUUCUCUUUCUAGUCUCCAGUUAAAUUAUUUCUAUUUUUUGAUUUUAUACUACAAAAGUUGUCCCCAUGAGAGAAAAUUUAAAUAUUUCUUAAUUAAUGAGGCGAUUGGUUCUUUCGCGUAAGCCCCUCUGAGUUGAUG